rnacentral:lncRNA from 1 species
AUUCCCGUAACUUAUUGGACAAUUCAUUUUAUUUUGUAAAAAAUGUAAAUGCUAACGUUAUUAUUCGCUUCCGCAUUUAAAUUAUAAAUUCAUUUCCUUUAAGAUUUCAGACCUUUAUAGUUGGUAUUAGAGUCGCGUUCCUUAGAACCAUUCCUUGCACAAAGAUUUGAAACAUUUAAAUACAACCUGACUCUUAACCCUUCAUUGUGAAA